CGAACGCCGGGAUUACGUGCGGAUACCCAGCAGUCGCCUCCAACAUCUGUCAUAAGUUACGUAGCAGCGACUUAAAUUACCGACUGAGACAUAUUCCACCAACUGGAAGUGAGAAAAGAUGGCUCCUCAUGGUGGAAGACCUGUUGGGCCGCCAAGAUUAACUUCAUUUCUUCGGGCUUAUGCCAAUGUCAGCAGGAAAGGAAAAGAGGAUGAUUAUGACUUGGCCCAAAUCUUGGCAAUCAAAAGAGAACAGCGAAGGCAGCGAUGAA